AAAACUGACAGUUGUCUUCGUCUUUCUCUUCUCCUUGAGCAGACAGUGCCCCACUCCCAGCAGACUCCUAUCCACCAUCUUUUUGAGACCAAACACCAUGCCUUCAAUUAAGUUACAGAGUUCUGAUGGAGAAAUAUUUGAAGUUGAUGUACAAAUUGCCAAACAAUCUGUGUCCAUCAAGACCAUGUUGGAAGAUUUGGAAAUGAUAAAGGAAAUGAUGACCCAGUUCCUCUAUCAAAUGUUAAUGCAGCAAUAUUAAAAAAAGGUCAUUCAGUGGUGCACCCACCACAAGGAUGAUCCUCCUCCUCCUGAGGAUGAUGAGAACAAAGAAAAGCGUACAGAUGAUAUACCUGUUUAGGACCAAGAAUUCCAGAAAGUUGACAAAGGAACACUUUUCGAACUUAUUCUGGCUGCAAACUACUUACACAUCAAAGGUUUGCUUGAUGUCAUAUACAAGACUUUUGCCAAUAUGAUUAAGGGGAAAACCCCUGAGAAGAUUCACAAAGCUUUCAAUAUCAAAAAUGACUUUACUGAAGAGGAGGAAGCCCAGGUACGAAAAGAGAACCAGCGGUGUGAAGAGAAGUGAAAUGUGCCUGACACUGUAACACUGUAAGGUUUGUUCCAAAUACUAGUUGCACUGCUCUGUUUAUAAUUGUUUAUAUUAGACAAACAGUAGACAAAUGCAACAGUACAUCAAUUGUAUUAGCAUAAUAUUGUCCUCAUUACAAGUGUAGUUUUAAUACACACCCCAAAUGUAUGGCUGAGUUUCUUCUAGUCUGAGUGAAAGCUUCUCUUUUCUUUACUCUGAAUACAGCAAUUGUGGGUUCUCUGUGGAAGUAGCAUUUUAGGAUCUCUCUCUUUCUGUAAGAGCAAUUUCUGCAUAGUUUAUUAUCCAGUUAACUUUAGUUAAGCUUGCAGAAGUUGGCAUUUUAAACAAGUUGCAACAAGGCUUCUGAUAGAAUUAACAAAAUAUCUUUAUUUACAAAGUGAAAACUGGAAAAAGGCUACUUGAAAUUAGUGUUCUUAGUGGUGUUUUUACAGUCUAGCCAGGACCACUGGUAUGUAGGAAGCAGGACUCUUAGUUGGA